AUGUAUGAUACACUGUCCGAUUGUGGUAUCUGAAAUCCAGAUACGCAAAUGCUGAUGCGUUGACGCAGUUCAUAAUCAUCGUUUCAUCUUUCUUUCAUUAAUUUGAGUCGUUCAUUACAGUUAGUUGCUGUUGAUCAUUCGAAACGAGUUGACGCAGAAACCUGGACACAAAAACAAUGAAGACUUUGAUUACUUUUACGAUUCUACUGUUCGUUGUCGCAGCCGAGGUCGCAGCAUUGGCUUCAACAUGUGAGGAAUCUUCACCUGGUUUUUACUAUGUUGAUCCCGACGAUUGUCGUGCUUUCUUCGUAUGUCCUGAUGAAUUUUCGUCACCAAUUCGUCAAGUAUGUCCCUCUGGGACACACUUUUAUGUCGGUCGACAAAUGUGUAUCCCACCAGAGGAAUGCGACUGGUGAACCAACCAUGAAGUGUUCAAGUUUUGAAAUGAACUUAAAUAAAAAUUUUGUUGAAUUGUUAAGAA